rnacentral:rRNA from 1 species
UACGUAGGUGGCAAGCGUUGUCCGGAAUUACUGGGCGUAAAGGGCGUGUAGGCGGCCUUUUUAAGUCAGGCGUGAAAUCCAUGGGCUUAACCCAUGAAUUGCGUUUGAAACUGGAAGGCUUGAGGAUCGGAGAGGGCAGUGGAAUUCCCAGUGUAGCGGUGAAAUGCGUAGAUAUUGGGAAGAACACCGAUGGCGAAGGCAGCCAUCUGGACCGACACUGACGCUGAGGCGCGAAAGCGUGGGGAGCAAACAGG